UAAGGUUGCAGAAGGUACAAGUUUAC
rnacentral:piRNA from 1 species